UAGCGGCGAGUGAACAGGCAAGAGCUCAGAUUUGAAAGCCCUCGGGCAUUGUAUUCUGAAGCCUUGGUCCUGAGAAUCGGUGUUUAAGUCUUCUGGAAAGGAGCGCCAUGGAGGGUGAUAGCCCCGUACGACACCACUCUCAUUGUAGGACUUUGGCAUGGAGUCGAGUUGUUUGGGAAUGCAGCUCAAAUGGGUGGUAUGCUCCAUCUAAAGCUAAAUAUCUGCGAGAGACCGAUAGCGAACAAGUACUGUGAAGGAAAGAUGAAAAGAACUUUGAAAAGAGAGUGAAAAAGUACGUGAAAUUGUUGAAAUGGAAGGAUAGGCCGCUAACCAUGUAGGGUCGUGUUCGAGGGGAAGAUAAAAGCUGAAGAAUGUAGCUCCUCGGAGUGUUAUAGCUUCAGUCCAUA
rnacentral:rRNA from 1 species